CCGGAUUCAAUAAUCCCCUUCACGAGCCCACCUGGGCCGUAGCCCAGGGGCUGCUGCUCCCCGAGCCCCGGGAGGCAGCGUCGGGCUCCUUGACCAAGACUUUUCAGCCCGAAAUCCGCUGCGAUGCGAACGGGUGUAUCCUCCCCUCCACAAAAGACUACCCCGCCUCCCCGAGUCAUCCUCGGCUUUUUAAAGAAUGUCCAAACCAGAGCGAGUGGCUUUCCAAUUACUCUCCCUGAACUAGGCCUUCCUACUCCUCCGACCCCCAACUCACCAUUGAUCGCGAUCCUGGCCCUUCCCAAGUCAACAGAUUCAUUCUCAUAGAAGGGCAUCAGAGGAAGAUAAAGAAGGAUCCUCAAUGUCAGACAUCUGAGCCCAAGCUAAGCCAUCAUAAUCCCUGUGACGUGCACAUAUACAUGCCCCACUCCAACUAAUCAAUCGACCUUGUGACAUUCCUCCCCUGGACAAUGAAUCUCAUGAUCUCCCAACCCUGCACCUUGUGACCCCUCCCCUGCCCACAAGAGAUAACCACCUUUAAGUGUAAUUUUCCACUACCUACCCAAAUCCUAUAAAGCUGCCCCACCCCUAUCUCCCUUUGCUGACUCUUUGUGGACUCAGCCCACUUGCACCCAAGUGAAAUAAACAGCCUUGUUGCUCUCACAAAGCCUGUUGGUAGACUCUCUUCACGUGGACGCACAUAACAGUUGGGAGUUGGAGACCAG
rnacentral:lncRNA from 1 species